rnacentral:lncRNA from 1 species
CUGGGAGCUCUUUGGAAAUGAAACACUAACUUUGGCAGUACAACCAGGAAGCCCUACAUGAUUUCCUUUACUAUGGGGAUUUAAGUGCUGGGAUUGCAUCAGUCCUCUGCCUCAAAGCUGUUACAGGUCAGGAAGUGGGGGAGAAGACCCAGGUGCUUGUGCAAACCUUCUCUGAGUUUCCCUAAUAAAUUUCCAGACACAUUUCCCAUGAAAUAACUAGCACUGCGUGGUUCCUACAGAAAACCUUACGCAGUGAAAGAAAGUAGCAGCUUCCGUUAACGUAUCUGCUCAGUGUUUGUACAUGGAAUUGUCCUGUUGGGUAUCAGGGUAGUUACAAUAUCAAUGCAAGUCUCCAUCCCAAAUGUGAAGGCAAGAGCUGUGUCAUUGCUUCUUUAUAUUUUACUUUUUUUCCAACGCUCCCUGAUAGGUUCUCAGGACCAUCACUGAUGGCCACUAAGAAGAAGUCUGUGGAUUGAAAGGAGAGGCUCAUAGUAAAAGAAGAAAUAGCAUCCAGCAGAUAGGGCUGUCUGCAGGCAUGAUCUGCAGAGCCACAGAGUCAUGCGGCAUGGAGCAGAUGCACACAGGGCACUGUUAAUUGGCAGUCCCUAAAUGCCAUUCUCACCCCCAGUAAACCCUGCCUGUCUCAGGAUAAUGCUUGAGUGAAUUCUGCCAGUGCUCUGCAUCUAGGAUCACAUUAGUAAGCGGUCCAGAUCUAAUACAACACCCCCCUGCACAGGUUCUAUUCCGUUCAUGCAAUUCAUCUCGGAAUUUGUUUCCACUUACACUCUAAGCCUCUCGUGUGCUGGUUACAGGAGAGGUUUGCUUGCGGGCCUGGUGUGACAUCCUUGGGGAUCGUGUUGGGAGGCUGCUGGAGGAGAAGGCUUAGACUUGGCAGAACAAGAGCGACUUUUCAUGCCCAAGGUGAAGACGUGGUAAGGGAGAGUUUGGGAAGGAUGAGCAGGAGGGCAUUCAUGGCAAGGGGGAAUGACAUACAGCUUUGUCUGUGGAUGCCAAAGCUGGUGAGAACUGUAUCCCUGCUCCUGAGGGGAGAAGUGUGAGAUUGGACCCCUCUGUGCGUUUGGAUUUUUAGAGGCUAUGCUGCUCAGGGGAUCUAGUGACUUUUCCUCCCACUGUUGAUAGAAAGAAAUCCCUUCUCCUCCUCCUCCUCCCACCAAUGA